CAAAAGUGCAUGAUGAUUAUAAAUCAACAACAUUCAUUAUUUCUAGAAAGCAUUUUCUAUACUAUCCAUGAUGGACAUAUGAAGGCCUUGAUCCUAGUAUUUGUAUAUUUACUUCUUGCAUGUCUUUGGAUGAAUAGACACCAGUUAUAGAUGAAAUACACAAAACACCGUAUUUUUCUUGUCACCCACAUCAACUGAAAAUAUCUCACAUUGUACAAGUUAUGAUGUCUUAUAAAUCCUUUCCACAGAUGUUCAAACUCAAUCUUAGUUUGUGAAUUUGUGAUAAUAUCAUAAAAAUUUA
rnacentral:lncRNA from 1 species